rnacentral:lncRNA from 1 species
AGCGAACGUCAGGGAGUUUCGGGUCCAACCCACCCGUAAGGGUCGGGUCUACAGGAAAGUCCUGCUGCCACUCUAGCGGAGGGUCCGCGGUCUGCAGCCCAGCGACCCCCCUUUCCUCCUAGGAUCCCCUGGGACCAAAGCCCACCCCAACUUCACAUGUUGAGUGCGCCUGACCCAGAGGCCCCGGGCUCCCUGCUGGCCUUAGGACCCCUGCCUGGCCUCACUCACCCUCCACGGUCCCCCAGGAGUAGCGGCGUCCCCUCACCGGCCGGUUCCCGCCAUCCCUCACCACCUCGCAUGAUCCCACGACUGCAAAAGGGAUGCUUUCCUGGAGGGCAGGGGGCAGGGGUUCACCAUUGGCUCACACGGCAGAAACUUUCUCUUUCCCAGCUUCAAUCUCCACACCCGCCUCCUC